rnacentral:lncRNA from 1 species
GAAUCAAUCACCAGCGGCCAAUGAUUUAAUCAAUCGUGGCCAUGUAAUGAAGCCUCCAUAAAUACCCAAAAGGAAAGUGUUCAGAGAGCUUUCAGGUUGGGGAACACAUUGGGGUUCUGGGAGCGUGGUGUGCCUGGAGAGGGCAUGGAGGCCUGCACCCUUCCCACAUACCUUGCCCUAUGCAUCUUUUCCAUCUGGCUGUUCCUGAGUUAUAUAUCCUUUUAUAAUGAACUGGUGAUCUAGGGCACGGAACCAAAAGCUGAGCACAUGCAGAAGAGAAAAUUUUGGCCUGCCAAUUGAAUGUCAUUCUGCCAGUGAUUCUGCAUAUCAGCGGGCCCUCCCUAAUCCCUUAAACCUGACCCCAAACCUUGGAUGAGGGACACAGUUGUCAGUCUUGCUUCCUGUCUCUUUGCCAGUUGACCUCACAAUAAAGCCUUUUCUUUUCUCAAAAGCCAGUGCCAUAGUUUUGGCUUUUAUGUGCAUUGGGGAGUGAGCCCUUGCUUGACACUAACACCAUAAACUAUUUAUGCAAAAUUUUAAAAAAUAAUGAAUUGGAGCUAUGUUUAUUGACUUGAUGGCAUUUUAUGAGCUCUUGCUAUGAAAACAAAGAUGUGAUGAAACACGUAAUAUAUAAUCUCACAUUUAAAGCAUAGAAUGAUAAAAGCAAACCGUAUAUACCUGAGUAUUAAGUGUG